rnacentral:rRNA from 1 species
UACGUAGGGUGCAAGCGUUGUCCGGAAUUAUUGGGCGUAAAGGGCGUGUAGGUGGUUUCGUAAGUCUGGCGUGAAAUUUUUCGGCUUAACCGGGAAAGGUCGUCGGAUACUGCGGGACUAGAGGACGGUAGAGGCGUGUGGAAUUCCGGGUGUAGUGGUGAAAUGCGUAGAGAUCCGGAGGAACACCAGUGGCGAAGGCGACACGCUGGGCCGUACCUGACACUGAUGCGCGACAGCAUGGGGAGCAAACAGG